rnacentral:rRNA from 1 species
CAGCAGCCGCGGUAACACGGAGGGGGCUAGCGUUGUUCGGAAUUACUGGGCGUAAGGGGUGCGUAGGCGGUUGUUUAAGUCUGUUGUGAAAUCCCCGGGCUCAACCUGGGAAUGGCAAUGGAAACUGGACGGCUAGAGUGUGUCAGAGGAUGGUGGAAUUCCCGGUGUAGCGGUGAAAUGCGUAGAGAUCGGGAGGAAUACCGGUGGCGAGGGCGGCCCCCUGGACAAAGACUGACGCUCAGGUGCGAAAGCGCGGGGGGCAAACAGGAUUAGAGACCCCGGUAGUCCCUGUCUCUUAUAC